ACAAAUAAACAAAUGCAAAAUAUAUGCAAAGUAUGUUUUGGAGGCAGGAGAGGCACUAGCUUUUGGUGGAACGAUAUCAGGAAAAGCCCUUAAAGGAGCAGCUGGUGUUUGAGUUGAACUUUAAAGGAUCCUAGACAUGCUAAGAGGCAGAAGUGAAGGAGGGAGCACAUUUUAGGCAUGAGAUAAAGGCUGUACAAAGGCAUGGAGAUAGAAGAUGGAAAGGCAUGUGUUAAGACAACAGAAAAAUCCAGAUUGGCUUGACUGUAGACUUCAUGAAGGAGAAGAAUUUGUAAUAGGCCUGGAAAGGUAGAGGGAGUGGAAUCUCCAAUCUGGCUCAGGAGCUCAAGCCUCAGGAAUUCAGGAGUCUAGGAAUCCAGACUGGGUGUCAUAGCCAGUCUAGCAGUGACAUCCUAAGGAAAAGGAGCCCAAGGAAUCUGCCCAUCAGAACCUGGAAAAGUCAGGACCAAGAUGCAGGACACUCUCACUUUGAAGCAUGAGGGGCUAAGACUGGUUUUUGGGAAGACAAGAAUGCUAAGAACAGCAAACAAUCUCCACCCUGAACCCUUGAGUGAAUGUGACUUGGAAAUGUCCCUGUAUUUUUAGAGCUCUACAAAGUGUGAGAAAGAAAAAAAUGUGACUGAGAGCACAAUAGCCAUUGAUCUCAUCUUUGUUAGUUUGUAUUCGAUAUUAGGAAGGCUACAAGAAUAAA